GACGAACGCUGGCGGCGCGCUUAACACAUGCAAGUCGAGCGAGAACCAGGCCUUCGGGCCUGGGGAAAGCGGCGAACGGGUGAGUAACACGUGGGUAACCUGCCCUCGGCACUGGGAUAGCCCGGGGAAACCCGGAUUAAUACUGGAUAGCCUCCGGAGCCUUCGGGCGCCGGAGAAAAGGUGGCUUCGGCAUCCGGCUGAGGAUGGGCCCGCGGCGGAUUAGCUUGUUGGUGGGGUAACGGCCUACCAAGGCGACGAUCCGUAGCUGGUCUGAGAGAAGGAGCAGCCACACUGGGACUGAGACACGGCCCAGACUCCUACGGGAGGCAGCAGUGGGGAAUCUUGCGAAAUGGGCGAAAGCCUGACGCAGCGACGCCGCGUGCGGGAAGAAGGCCUUCGGGUUGUAAACCGCUUUCAGGAGGGACGAAGCCACUCGGGUGAAUAGCCCAUGUGAUGACGGUACCUGCCUAAAGCCCCGGCUAACUACGUGCCAGCCGCCGCCGUAAGAC
rnacentral:rRNA from 1 species